rnacentral:rRNA from 1 species
CGUGUAGGCGGUUGGUCAAGUCUGGUGUGAAAGCCCGGGGACUUAGCCCCGGAAGUGCGCUGGAAACUAGCCAACUUGAGCGCGAUAGAGGAGGGUGGAAUUCCUGGUGUAGCGGUGAAAUGCGUAGAUAUCAGGAGGAACACCGGCGGCGAAGGCGGCCCUCUGGAUCGUUGCGUGACGCUGAGACGCGAAAGCGUGGGGAGCAAACAGGAUUAGAUACCCUGGUAGUCCACGCUGUAAACUAUGGGUACUAGGUGUUCGGGGUGUUGACCCCCGUGAGUGCCGACGCUAACGCAUUAAGUACCCCGCCUGGGGACUACGGCCGCAAAGGCUAAA